GCCAUGAGCUCUAGAAAUCCUUUUACAGAGCAUUUUCCAGUCUAAACGUUCAUGGAAAGUUCCUAAAAUCCCGAAAAUUUUAUAACAACUCAGUUCACUUAAAUCUUCACUUUUUCCUCCAAAACCCACGUCUCGAUUACUACACUAAACCUCAAAAAACCAUUCUUUAUCAAAGUUAAUUGUCCUUAUACUGCCUUGGGGGCUGUUUUUGGGGGAGUCAAAUUUAUUCAGAUGAGUGAAUGGGACUGGCCAAGUACGGGCUCCGGGCUCCUAGGAUGGGUGCUGGGGUGGGUCCAAUUUUGGACCGAAUUUUCCAAUCCGAAAGGAAUCUGUAAGGGGCUAAAAAAAUUUGUGAUUGGCCUGUAGAGAGCUAAAAAGGUCCUUUCUGUAGCAGUUUAUACUCAAUACAAGAGGAUAUAUAAUGAUUCCGCCCAAAGGUGAAGAAGCUGGCUGUUUUUGCUGCAAGCAUUGCCACCACUGAAGCGAGAAAUCUGAUGUUAAAACUAAAGUGAAGUGGCUGUUUUUGCUGCAAGUGUUUCGACCACUGAAGGGAGAAAUUUGAUGUCAAAACUAAAGGAGUGCUGAUGAAUUGAAAUCUGGUAGUCCACCAAGUGGAAUAGGGUUACAACCGGGGCAAGCUGUUGUUGUUUGAGGGUCUCUAGGGACAGCUGGCAAUACAGAGGAAUGUACUGUUGUUUCAGAGGAUUAGAUGACCAUUUACAAUGUAUCCCAAGAGGAGAGAAGAGGAAAAUUUGAAAUCAUGCCCAUGUUGCUGUGGAAAUUACAAUUGCAAAGCUUGGCAUUAAGCAGUUGUACAUGUAAAGAAACCAAUGAGAGUAUCAGAGUUGAAAGGUCCCCAAUUUGCUAGUUAAUGUUCUACCUGUCCUGAGGCAUACACAACAAGAGCAGAGGUCUCAGCCAGACAUUGAAGCCUGCAUACGUGGUGCUCAAUUGACCGAGGAUGAUAUAGUGUUUGCAGCAUUUGAAGAAGAUGAUCGCGUAUACUGGAUAUUCUUCGUUGAAUCUUGGUGUGAGCCUACUCGACCUUUUGUAAAGAAAGGGGAGGAUAUCGUUUCGCACUUUGAAACAGGGGACACACAACAGAGAGGAACCCUGGCUCACUGGAAAAAAAAAAGAAGUUUGCUAAAACGAGAUGGGAAUCUGAGGUAGAAUGUUCAAACGAGCUUCGAGGUAUAAAUGAACCUCGAACUGCGUGAAAAAAAUUCACCUGACCAGCUUCAGAAAGACUGUUUGAAAAAUUCUGACCGACCAACCGACGCCAGAAAUUUGAACGAUCAACCACCGGCAACUACACCAACAUCGCAGUCAAUGAUCAUCAUCUACACCGGAAAUAAAAUAACUUGAUGGAGUAUCAUUUAGAUGCAGAGUUGAGACGGAUGUUGGGGAAAGCUACUUGAAACAGUAGUUUUGAGAGUUUUACUGCUGUAUUGGAGCUGCUCGAUGAUCAGCACGGAGAUAUGCUACGAUAGUCCUUCUUGUGGUCAUUGUACCAGUUGCGAGAGGUGCAGUACUCAGGACAGAUCAUUGAUGCACUUCUAUGUCGGCUUCUGAGGCCAGUCGACGGCGAUUCGCUCCAGUUCGAUAUCGGGGGCAAGGUCAUCAGUUUCUCGAUGUUUGAGUUUACAUUGAUCACUGGACUGAGGAUUACGGGCGACGAUGCAGCCAUGGAGAGAAGUAAUAGGCUGUACGAGACGUACUUUCAGGGACAUGAGUCGGUGCUUCUGCUCGACUUGAUGGUCGCGGUCAGGGGGUGCGACCAUAUGCUAGAUAGAUUGAAGCUUGGGCUGGUCUACAUCCUCGAGAGUGUGAUGAGGUGUCAUCACAAGAAGACUGCCAUCGAUAUUUUUCAUUUGCAAGUUGUUGACGACAUCGAUGCGUUCAACAACUAUCCAUGGGGCCGAAGAUGAUACGAAGACACCGUACAUGUGUUCACCAGAUCGCACUCGAGGCCCAGGGGAUCGAUGCAUAAAUACGAUACAUAUGGAUUGCCCUUAGCGAUUUGGGUGUAUGAGACAGUUCCUGUACUGGGGGCCCGCUUUGCACAGCGAGGGGAGACACGCUGCCCUCGGAUGCAUCAUUG